GACCCAGGGAUUGAACCUGCAUCUUUUAUGGUCUCCUGAAUUGACAGGACCUGUAUGGAAAAGAAAGAGCCCACAGUGGUAGCCUGUGGCUUAGUUGGUUCUGAAAUUCUUUUAGGGUCUUGCCUGGCAAGGCCAGGAAUUAUUGCAAAGAGAAAACUGUCUUAUUAACUCUUUCCAUACCCAAACUGUACAGUACAACUGUCAACGUGGGGUAAUGCUGAAGGUUCCCUAUCAAUAUAAUGGGGGUAAUGAAGAAGCUCAAUUCAUGGGUCUAUUGUGAACAUCAGACAAGACAUUUAUCAGCCCUGUCUUUGCUUCCACCUAACUGAAAUCCGAUGCCUCAGAGUUCAUGAUGAAAAAGCUGCCAACGUAUUAUGGACCUGUACAAGUUAGACAUCUGUUUAAACUCCAUGCUUUUGGUCUUUUCAUGAUUGUAGUAUGCCAAAUUAUGAACACCAUAUGAAGCAUAAAAUU